GACGAACGCUGGCGGCGUGCUUAACACAUGCAAGUCGAACGGAAAGGCCCUGCUUUUGUGGGGUGCUCGAGAGGCGAACGGGUGAGUAACACGUGAGUAACCUGCCCUUGACUUUGGGAUAACUUCAGGAAACUGGGGCUAAUACCGGAUAGGAGCUCCUGCUGCAUGGUGGGGGUUGGAAAGUUUCGGCGGUUGGGGAUGGGCUCGCGGCUUAUCAGCUUGUUGGUGGGGUAGUGGCUUACCAAGGCUUUGACGGGUAGCCGGCCUGAGAGGGUGACCGGCCACAUUGGGACUGAGAUACGGCCCAGACUCCUACGGGAGGCAGCAGUGGGGAAUAUUGCACAAUGGGCGGAAGCCUGAUGCAGCAACGCCGCGUGCGGGAUGACGGCCUUCGGGUUGUAAACCGCUUUCGCCUGUGACGAAGCGUGAGUGACGGUAAUGGGUAAAGAAGCACCGGCUAACUACGUG
rnacentral:rRNA from 1 species